rnacentral:sRNA from 1 species
UUGACACCCUUGGAGACUGAAGUCCUAUAUCUAGCCACAGAAAAGGGGCAGUUGAAGCCCAAAGUAAUCCCCCCCCACCAACCCCACUCAAUGCUCCAGUAAAGAGUCUCACAUUUGACUUAGAGAGAUUCCUUCCAGGGGUGAGAUGGUAUUUCAGUUUCCACAUCCAUUACAUCCUUGGCCUCU